rnacentral:rRNA from 1 species
UACGAAGGGGGCGAGCGUUGUUCGGAAUUACUGGGCGUAAAGCGUGCGCAGGCGGUUUUGUAAGCCAGGUGUGAAAUCCCCGGGCUCAACCUGGGAAUGGCAUUUGGGACUGCAAGGCUGGAGUGUGGCAGAGGAGACUGGAAUUCCUGGUGUAGCAGUGAAAUGCGUAGAUAUCAGGAGGAAUACCGAUGGCGAAGGCAGGUCUCUGGGCUGACACUGACGCUCAUGCACGAAAGCGUGGGGAGCAAACAGG